CCCAGAAUCGCCGAAGAGCUCCAGCAUGGACCGAAUGGGAGUUGCAGAUAGCUCACAGCAAGGAAGUGGAGAAACUGGUUUCCCCAACAGCCAGUAUCUGUUUAUCACCCUGGACCUGGACCCAGUGUCCCCCGAACCCACUCAUGGCGGGGUCCCGGACCCUGAAGGCGGAGAAGGGACCUCUGAGGCUAGCGAAGAUUAGAAGGCAAAAAAAACGCACUCGUGAUGAAAUGUUCUCUGA